rnacentral:rRNA from 1 species
CUACGGGAGGCUCCAGUGAGGAAUAUUGGUCAAUGGGCGAAAGCCUGAACCAGCCAUGCCGCGUGAAGGAUGACAGCGCUACGCGUUGUAAACUUCUUUUGUACGGGAAGAAACACUUCUACGUGUAGAAGCUUGACGGUACCGUACGAAUAAGCAUCGGCUAACUCCGUGCCAGCAGCCGCGUUAAUACGGAGGAUGCAAGCGUUAUCCGGAUUUAUUGGGUUUAAAGGGUACGUAGGCGGAAAAUUAAGUCAGUGGUGAAAUCCCGCAGCUCAACUGUGGAACUGUCAUUGAUACUGGUUUUCUUGAAUGUAGUUGAGGUAGGCGGAGUGUGUAAUGUAGCGGCGAAAUGCUUAGAUAUUACACAGAACACCGAUUGCGAAGGCAGCUUACUAAGCUAUGAUUGACGCUGAGGUACGAAAGCGUGGGGAGCGAACAGGAUUAGAUACCCCAGUAGUC